UACGUAGGGUGCAAACGUUGCUCGGAAUUAUUGGGCGUAAAGCGCACGUAGGCGGCUUUGCAAGUCGGAUGUGAAAUCCCUCGGCUUAACCAAGGAAGUGCAUCCGAAACUGCAGAGCUUGAGUACUUAAGAGGAUCGCGGAAUUUCCGGUGUAGAGGUGAAAUUCGUAGAUAUCGGGAGGAACACCAGUGGCGAAGGCGGCGAUCUGGGAAGAUACUGACGCUGAGGUGCGAAAGCGUGGGGAGCAAACAGG
rnacentral:rRNA from 1 species